AUUGAACGCUGGCGGCAGGCCUAACACAUGCAAGUCGAGCGGAUGAAGGGAGCUUGCUCCUGGAUUCAGCGGCGGACGGGUGAGUAAUGCCUAGGAAUCUGCCUGGUAGUGGGGGAUAACGUCCGGAAACGGGCGCUAAUACCGCAUACGUCCUGAGGGAGAAAGUGGGGGAUCUUCGGACCUCACGCUAUCAGAUGAGCCUAGGUCGGAUUAGCUAGUUGGUGGGGUAAAGGCCUACCAAGGCGACGAUCCGUAACUGGUCUGAGAGGAUGAUCAGUCACACUGGAACUGAGACACGGUCCAGACUCCUACGGGAGGCAGCAGUGGGGAAUAUUGGGCAAUGGGCGAAAGCCUGAUCCAGCUAUGCCGCGUGUGUGAAGAAGGUCUUCGGAUUGUAAAGCACUUUAAGUUGGGAGGAAGGGCAGUAAGUUAAUACCUUGCUGUUUUGACGUUACCAACAGAAUAAGCACCGGCUAACUUCGUG
rnacentral:rRNA from 1 species